AGAGUCAAGUAGGAGAACACUCCCAAGCUUUGGAUUCAAAUCUGUCAAAAGAAGAAUCCAGUGGGAUUCAGGAGAAUCCGGAAGAACCGCAUUUUGUCUGGGACUGAAGCUGGUCUCCUGAAUGGGAGACUUCCUGCAAAGUUCAGCUCUGAAGUGAAACUCCAUCUGAUCAACAUUUCUGUCUGAAGAAGCAUUGAAAUGGGGAAAGGAGAGAAAGCAGAAAUAGUUAUUUGAAGAUUU